GAGGAAACUAGUCAAGACACCAACAGUCCAGUAGAACAAGAUGUCCCUCUUGACGAUCUCGACAAGAAGGAACUCUCAACUCAACAGCAAAAUUGUGUUUUGAGUAUCUCUGCUAACUGGGAAAAGACUGUCAAAGUUUUACCAGUAAACCAAACAGUCCUGUGUAUCAGUUAAAGGGUCAGUCUGUUACCUUGUCAUGGACUUACAACACAGCUGGCAAGACAGUCACUCAAGUAUGGUGGUUUCACAAUAAUAACUGGAUUGCUUCUAGACAACCUAGUGGACAAACCAGUGUUCUUAAUGCACAGUAUCAGGUAUCAGGGCCUGCAACACUUACAAUAUCAAAUGUUCAGACAAAGGACUAUGGGGAAUAUGAGUGUCAGGUGACCUUCUUCAGUGGCGUCCCUCCUCUGAUUAAAGCUACUGCUGAACUUAUUGUAGUUGAUCCACCAGAAUUCACCAGCAUCAGUGAUGAUGUAGUUCUUGUUGAAGGUGAAGGUGACCCCAGUGUUACUUUAGAGUGUA